UAUUCUCUCUAACCUCCCAAAUAUAUAUAUAUAUGUACGUAUGUGUAUAUGAGUGUAUACGUAGAUAUAUAUGUAUUUUUGGUGGGUCUAGUUUU
ensembl:miRNA